UGGAGCAUACACAAUGAGGAUGAUGA
rnacentral:piRNA from 1 species